CUUUGUGUUGCACUGGCUUUUUGCUGACUGGCAUCAGAACAGUUUCUUUGUUUGUAAGUACACUUACUUAUUCUGUAGACUUUUUCCUGGAUAGCAUUGCCACUUAGAACAUACAAUGAGAACAUGAGUUUGUCUUCGAUUGCAGUAUUAAUUUACCUGUGUUCAAUACCCUUCUCAUUGUACUCCACUUUUCUAUGAAUAUGUGUCUACUUAGUUUUUACAGUAAGUCAUUGAUUAUCAUUCGUAGUGCACCUCUGUACUUUUGGAAGACAUUAGUUAUCGUCCUUCACUGCUGAGUCUGUUUUUAGACUUCAAUGUCCUUGCAGCAUCGUAAUGCAGUUCUUAAUUCUAAAUCAUAUUGACAAAUAUUUGCAGUUAAUUACUUUAAAAACACACAAUAGCACAGGCAUUCUUUAUCUCCACCUUUUUUCAUACACUUUGCUCAUCAUAAGUUGGAAUUUAUAUCAGCUUGCAAGAGCUGUGAAUAAGUAUCAAUUUAACUCUGCCAGAUCGUGAAAAAUAAAUCAGUUCAGAUUAGUGCUUUUAUUAAGGCCGUUUCACACCGCAGUCACACUGUGUCACAUUACGUAAGGUAACAGAUUUUUCAAUAGUUUUAAAUGGUGUAAUUCACACUGACCUCGCAUAGCCUCACAGACGCCACAGAUGAAUCUGCGAGAUCACUCGGAGAGCAAUCUUUUCAAACCAUCUGUCGAUGUCUGUGGCCUCGCGCAUGCGCAGUGGUAUAUACUACACUGCCAUGCGCGUGACCACACCUGUCGUGCAGUUUCGUGCUGAACUCAUUACAAGAAGCUGUAUUGCUAAUUUUGUUGUUUGUUAUGGAACAGGUAACUGAAACCAUCAGAACGCGUCCACUGCUGUGGAAUACAGAUUUGGAGGAGUGUAGAGACAGCAAUUCAAAGAACACAGCAUGGGGUGAAAUAGCAGAGCAACUGGGACAAAAUAAGGCGAAUUUGAAAGAGGAAUGGAGGAACUUACGUGACCACCACUGCCAAGCUCUCUUCCAGAAGAAGACCAAGUCAGGCCAAUCAGCUACAAAAUGCAAGCCAUGGAAAUACGAACAACGAAUGGAGUUCCUCGUUACAACAGUGAAACAUAGGAAGUGUGACACUAAUAUCCUUCCAAUGGACCAAAGUGUUGUUGGGGGAACAGUCCCUGACUGCGACCGUCCUCUCACUCCAGGAGAUGAAAGCAUUACUGAUAUAGUCCCCUUCCCUCUACUAAUGCGUCAACACCAGGUGAAUCCCGUAAACAUCACCCCAGACAUAUGGACAAAUUAAUUAAUUAUUUGCAAGGAAAACAGAGCACCAAAAGAAGUGCACCAAAAGCUGAUGACUUGGACUUACUUUUUGCCAGUGCUUGCAAGUCCACUCGUUUGCUCCCUCAUUUUUUACAUGAAAAAUAUUUAAAAUUGGCCUUUAUGAUUCCAUUGUACAAGGAAAAUAACUCUUUUUUGGAAAAUUUAAUGUAAUUGUAUAGAUAAAAUAUCAACACAUCAAAUGGGAGCAGGGGAACACACAUGUAUAUCACAGGUUGUAAGCUUUUGGAGCCAGUGGCUCCUUCUUGCAGCAGAGGGGUUGAAGGGGAAGGAGGAGAGGUGAAGGAAUAGGACUGGUGAGGUUUAGAAAAAGGAGUAGAGUUCAGAAAAUUUGCAAAGAACCCUGGGUCAGAGGAGACUUACCAAGCGGGAUGAGAGGGAAAGACUGAGUGAGUGUCUUUGCCGAACUCUGCCCCUUUUCCUAAACUUCACCAGUCCUUUUACUUUUACCACUCUCCCUUCCAUUUGAACCCUUCUGCCAGAAGCAGCAGCCACUGGCUGGCCUUUUUCUGCCUCGGCAAAGGAUUACUCCGAAAGCUAGCAAGUUUUCUUAUUUUCUGUGUGUAUGCCUAUUGACAACUCGAGCUUCUUUUUCUUUGUGAGUAGUCGCCUGUAAUCCAAAAGUAUUUACAUUCUGCCACAACUUCCCUACAACAUUUUAAAAUACAUUUAAUAAGCCCAGUGGCCAGCUUGACAGUCUCUUGCUGAUCAAUUGGCAAAAAUAUUGAAAAUGAAAGGUUUCUACCAUUGCUGGCUCUUGUCUUCCUAUGUGGUCUUUUGAAAACUGAUGCAGAUCAUAUGGGUGACAGAUCCUGAAAUGAUUUCCGAUGGAUAGUUUUACCACCUGGGUCUGCUCAGAGACUUCAUUUCUCCAAGCUUGUGAGCUUCGGAAUAUUAUGAAGUGUCCUACAUCGACUAUACGGAGGUCCUUUAGCACCACAUAGCUGGACUGAAACAUGCUUAUUAAAAUCAGUUUCUUUCUGUUACUGUAAAAGUGUGAAAGAUGAAUAAUGAGAACCAGGUGAAGGAGUAUAUAUAAUGACACUGUAUCUACACAAUAAUUAAUAUGACAGAUCUUUUUCAGUUUUUUAGUUUGUUUUGUUGAAGAUUACUGUCCCACAAACAGCUAAAGCAUGAAUGCUAUGUUAAUGAGUGAUUCUAGUUACAUUAGGGUAUGAAAACAUUCUUCUGCUCUUCAUAGAUUAUCAUCUCUGGAAUAAAAUGAAGUACUUACAAGAAUUUGGAAGCAGAUAUGUGAAAUAUCAGUUUAUUAAGCAGAGCAUGGAAGUUUGUAAACUGAAAUACUAAAUUACUUAUAGAAGUGUUCAAAUAUGUAAUUUAUGAUUGUUUCUGCAUGAGUACUGUUCCUAAGAUAUACAUAAUGGAAUGAAAUAGUUAGAGAAAUAGCCGAAGUGCUCUGACUGAAAUUGUUGUUUCUGUAAAGUUCUCUAAGUUGUUAAAUAAUGCAUUUUGUGCAAAAUAUUUUCAAUCAUUAGGCAUUUCGCUGUGCAGACCUGUCACAUCAGUAACUUGUACUGAAAUUACAUUGUAUCUAACACUUUAGCUGUACAAAAUCAGUAUGAUUAAGUAUCAAACAAUGGAAAAACCAGUAUGGAAUAGUGGCAUUAUGAAAAAGGAUAGUGUUAUUCACCAUAUAGAGUAGAUACUGAGGCACAACAGGCGCAACAGAUAGACUGCUAAAUGUGAGCCUUCAGCCCAGCCAAUGGGCCCUCUACUAAAGCGCGCGCGCGCGCACACACACACACACACACACACACACACACACACCCGUGCGUGCGUGCACAAGUUUACUUCAGAAGAAGGCCUUUUACCUGAAAACUCAUGUUUGAGGCAGUCUUUUUAUUGUGCCUGCCUGUGACGCAGCAUCCCCUCUACAUGGUGAGUCGCAGUCCAUGAUUGUCAUAAUAUUGUAUAACAAAUUACACUAUUUAUAUUGACUAAAAAGUACUAUGCAUGUAAAGGGUUUUGGUUAUUGCCUAUUUCAUUGUUAAUAAUGCUAUCAGAUUCUUCACACACAUUGUAUUACAGUUCUUAGUAUAUUUGAAAACAGUGAGGGUGUAUCAGUUUUGUAGUAUUAAGUAAAGACAAUUUUAUACUUCCUGUGCUUUAUGUAACUGCACAUAUUUUCUGCUUUUCUUAAACUUGUAAAAGUAUAAAUUCUGAGACCAGAAUACAAAUAUCAGAACAGAGGAAGAUCACCAGUGUGUACUGUAACUAUACAAUUGUAGCAUUAGAAUGUAUAUGUAUAUUUCAAUCUUUUCCCAGAAUUUAAUGAUAAAUGACACAUAUAGCUGAUUUUAACAGAAAAGUUUAGUUAUUAAGUGAGAUGUGGUUUUGAACAAUCAGAAUUGUUAUCCAUCAUAUAGGUGUAAUUUGUUCUCUGUAGACAGGAAUUACAGAUGUGACACUCGAUAAUUUUACUUUAUUCACUUCCAUUUGUUGUAACUAUUUGAGUGUGCAUAUUGCUGAGUAGUGUUCAUUAAAAAGGCACAUAAUUUGCCAGUAAGUAUCCAUUUAACAUGGGAGAUGUAAAUUCAUCAACAGUUACCUAUGUAAUAUAAUUAUCAGUGCACCUUUCGUGUAAUCUUGCUUGCUCUGUCUUAUUGGUACAGUGUAAGCAUCAAGACACUGAUAGAUGUAUAGCUCACAAUGGUGGAUUCACAUCUAAUUUUUUUUUCAAUGCCUGACAAAAAAAGUGAAGCAACCAAGAGACGUGGUCAGAUGUGAAUGUAACUUUGUACAUCUACACACCAGUGGCAAGUAUAUAGAUGAUUAGAGUUACAAUUCUGUGAAAAAGUUAGGGCAGCCAACAGGGUUCAUUAGUGUUGUAAAUGUUCAGUGCUGUUAGCAGGCCUGGUGAGAUAUAUAAGGGGGCAUGAAGUGUGUCAAAUUUUGAGUGAUGACUCCAAAGGCCACUGACAUGGCAUGUGAGACAAUAUUAUUAGCACCUGACUAUUUGAAAGAGGCAUCAUUGAGGGAUUCCAUUUGGCAGGCUGGUUGAAUUGUGCAUAUCCAGAUUUGUGGGGCAUUAAAUGUGACUGGCUUGAUAUAGGACUAUAUGGAAAUGUGAGAGCAGAAAUAACUCAUCGCCAAGCUUCUGGUCGACCACAUCUGACGACUACAAGGGAGGAUCACCAUGUUUUGCACCGACGAUUUUGUGGCUGUGCCUGGCAUCCGAGAAUAAGUGAUGGACUCUGUGCAGCAUUGUGCGCCGUCCUGCACCAGUUGUUGAAGACUAGCGGCAAUUGGACUAUGGAAUUACCAACCUGUGCAUAGGCUGCCAUUAACACGACAACACAAAUGGUUGCUUUUGGAGUGUUGCCUUGAUCGAGAAGCACAGACUGCUGGUGAACAGUGUCACAUUGUGCUCAGAGAUGAACUGUGCUCCUGAACUAUCCCAUAUGGCUGUUUUCGGCGAGUACAGAGGUGAUGUGGGGAGCAGUCCCAUUCUCCUAAUGUUUUGGAGAUGCACAGUGACAUUUCGCCAGGCGUGGUGUGGGGAGCCAUCGGUUAUGACUUGAGGUCAUGGCUGGUAAUGAUGCAAGGAACUCUGAGGGCACAACAGUACGUCAUGGACCUACCUCAUCCUCACAUGUUAACACUCGUGUGACAUUAUUGUGAUGCCAUUUUUCAACAGAACAGUGCUCGACUACACAUUGAAUGUUCAUCUAUGAAAUGACAGUUGGACACUGAGGUACUUAUGUGGCUAGCAAGGUCACUAAAUCCAUCCCCAGUAGAACAUGUAUGGGACCAGUUCGGAUGUCAGCUCCACACCAGUAUAAUUAUUCAGGGUAUCGAGGACCAAUUACGACAACUGAGGACCAGCUUGCCUCAGGGGAAAAUAAACAGCUGUAUGACUCCCUUACCAACCAGAUUAGCACACACAUCCAAGCCAUGUGGACUGAAAUGUCAUUCUGCCAGUUUAAUGGGAUAUGACUAUUUUGUAAUCACAGAAAAAACAUCACAUGCCCUUUCUGCUCAUGAAAUUUGUCUGGUUUCUCAUCCUCUUCUGGGUGCUUGACAUUUUUUUUCAGGCAGUGUAUUUGUAGACAUAAUGUUAAAACUAAAAAUAUGAACACCACUGGUAAUACCAGUGGUUGUAUGUUACGAUGUAGCAUAGGUUAAGUUACUGCAGAGAGUUAAUGUGGCAGAGUUUAAUGAAAAUGUGUGGAAUGCAUAUAUUGAGAAUGUAACGUUGUCAUUGGUGCAAAUCAUUAUUUUUAUUGGCGAGUGUUAGAAUACUAGAUAGUUACUUGUAUCUGUUAGUCUUCUGUUACUUCAGAAAGGACUGGGUAUGGCACCAUGUUUAGGUAACCUGAAUGCAGGUUACUGUAAAAUACAUUUAACCACUGAAAUGAAUAUAGACUGUUCUUGAGCCAUUGUCAUUCAUUAGAGGUAUAAUGGUGAAGGGGCAGCUUGUAUAUACACUGUUUGAGCUGCAAGAGAUGAUAUACACACACUCAUAUGGUUCUUUUUUCUCUCCCAACCAUUAUCUCAUUGCUUUUACAAGAAAUGGAACUGUUGCACAUUAUAGCAUCCCCUUUGUUACAGCUUUUCUGUCCAUCCUGAUUUGUUUUCCGUGAUUUCCCUAAAUCACGUUCCGGGAUGAUCCCUUUGAAAGGACACGGCUGACCUCCUUCCCCAUCCUCCCCUGCUCUGAUGGGACUGAGGACCUCACUAUUUGGUCCCCUCCACCAAAUCAAUCAAUCAACCAACCAUUUCUCAUAAACUAGCAAUGCUUUACUAGUGAUGACAUUUUCGAAGUAUAAAAUAUUGUUUCACUUUGUUUUUUAACGUUAUUACCAGAUGAAAUAUUAUGCUUUUUGGAAUAAUUGUUGUUCGUUCAGCCAGAGGAAAUGUAACAGAAGCAGGAAAUUGGGAAAUGUUGGUUUGAUAAUAGAGAAAAAGUUUGUAAAUAGUUUCUACCCUGUGUGUUCAAGGGUUUGCUACAGAAUUUCAUUAAAGUCAAUAACAAUACAGCCAAUCUUUAAAUUGGUAAUUUGCUUGCUAAGUACUUAACGUUGUUUGUUUUUUUAAUAAGUCUGUAGAAUGUACAGCCACAUCAGCCGUACCAAUUUUAAUGUAACUUUUGUCAUUUACAUUUUAUUUUGUUCAUACUGUAAACUGAUUUUGUUAUCUGUCAUUCCAUAAAAAGCCAAGUUUUGGACAUGCUCACCAUGCUGUGAGCUGCAUAUUGCACAAAGACGAUGGACACUGUUACAUAUCACUCCACAGGAGAUGGUUUGGUCGGUAAUUGCUUUUUCAGUUUUCAGGCAGACAAUAAAUCUACAAUUAAGAUCUCACAUGCAGAGUAUUUUGAGUAUGCAUGUACAUUUAUGGUGAAUCUGUUUCUUGGUGCUAUCACCAAUAAAACCGCAACCAUCAACAGUGAACAUCAGAUCUGAAGUUGGCUGGACAAAGCAGAGACUCACAGGCCUUGGGCAUGAAAAAAAUGUCCUGACGCUUGCUGCACAAUGUGUAUUCAGAAGCUGCUCCAAAUACCCCAUCUGCAUAACCCAUCAUUGCAAAACUAUUAGUUUGGAUAUUGUAAACAGGUAACAUAUUUACCAGUACCAAUUUUACUGGACCAUCCAGCACACACAUGCCCCACUGCGACAAAUUUGACUACUUCUGAGCAGCAAGUGUUGGAACAAAAUAACCACAAAGUGCAACUGGAGCAGAGUGGAUACUGGUGACUGCAGUCACCUUACACUUCUCACCUCUAAAUAGUGGAAGGUAUGAUUUUGACACCAUGAUAAGUUUGCUGGAUUUUGCUAUCUGCAGACCACUCCAGACUACUGAUCGUAUAUAAAGGCUGGCACUCCACUGACUGUCAUACUGUCACUAACUUUUCAUACGGUAACAGUAGUGAAGGUGUAUCCUGCCUUCUGGAAUGCACUAAUGGUCUGAGCAAAUGUAGUGAUCAUUCCAUCAUAUACACUUGCAGUGAUUGUCUUAAGUGAGAGUCACCCUCCACCCGCAAGCAACAUCAGAAUUAAGAUGCAAACAUCAUUUGGCAGCACCAAGUUAUGGCAUUACUAAUGUGGAACAACCUGAGAGAUGCAGUAUUGGCAACUUUCAACAACCGGCACAUAACAACCAUUCUAAAAGAAGAAGAAGAAGAAGAAGAAGCCAAGUUAUAGCAGUGUUUUGCAAGCGCCUGCCUUUGUUUGUUUUGUAUUCCACCAUCUUGUACCACUUCAUGGUAUCGUGGUUUCUCACUGAGUUACUGGUUUGACCCAUUCAUCAUCAACUGUGAUCACAUGUGAACCAUUCUUUUUUUGUCUGUGGGUGCGUUCAGCUUGGAAGAAAUAAAAUUAAGUAACUUGUUGAAUUCACACCUUGUAUUGAAUACUUAUCCUUGAUUACCAUGUCAUUUGCCUCAAAGGAAAAACAACACAUGUAGUUUCACACUUGAUUGACAUCAGUGUCUGGCUACUUCACUAAUGGACAUUUCUGUUUGACCUUUUCUGCAAGCAAUUCAUGUGUACACAGAUGUACAUAAGAGAGACAAUGCAGACAGUCUACUGUGAGUGUGGGAUAGAUAGUCUGCAGUCUUCUUCAACACUGUAUUUGGGCUGUAGAUAGAUGGUCAGAAUGUAAAUCUUGUAUCAAAUAAGUAAACACAAGGAUGUGUUACCAUCUGCCUUGUUGGCCAGAUUUACCUCGGAAGGCUGAUGACUGUGUGUUGAACCAACAUGAAUUGACAUUUAUCUGUAUCUAGUGCUCACGUAUGUGAUCUAAAAAUGAGGUUGCGGUCAAUGUGAAAUCCAAAAUUUCUCCCCAGUGAACUGAAAAUUUGGUAGACAGAAGAGUGAAAUUAAAUAUUAUCUUCAAGCAUUUUUGUAUGUUCUUACUUGGCUAAUUUGAAGUUAGACAUAUUUGUGACCCCACUGAGUAUUUUCUGUAUACUUUGUAUGUAUAUUUACUGAAAAGAAUAUUUUAUGUUUGUACCUAUAUGCGGUGCAAACGGUGUUUUUUUUUUUUUCUCUUACUUUGGUUCUGUAAAGGAGUAUUGAUGCCAUUAAUACUUCCAACAUACUGAUUGUGUGUUUAUGUUCACAUAAUCAGUUACAUGUAGUUAUACCAAUAAAUAGAUUUUAUGAAUAAAUUCUGUGUUGACACAGCUACAACUACAGUCUGUUCAAUAUGUUAAAUGAAAUGAAUAUGUUGUAUAAGCUUUUAGAUUUUUAGAUAGAAUAUACACGAAUUAUUCUGUGCUAAAUGUUUUGUAUAUUUUUGCAACACUUCUUCAUAAUUUAACAUUUUCUAGUUUAAAACGUAUAAUUCAAGAUUUUUAAAGUCUGCAAAGCAACAGACCUGCUUUUUAUUUUGUUGAUUAAAAGCUAUUAUUCAUUAACCAAGGCAGAAAUGAGGAAGAAAUGAAGCAAUUAUUUUCUUUAUUGUAACUUGAGUAAGUUAUAUAUUAGUUCAUAAAAAGUAAUUUAAAAUAAUUGUAGAUCAUUUAUAAAUUGCAAUGUUUUAUGUUAAAUGUAUCUGUGGAAUUAAAUGAAACAAAAAGUGUUUGGAUCAAGGUGGACCCAGAAUUCCAUAGUGUUUUAUGGAAACCCUGACCAACAAAACAAGACUUCAUGUUACAUGACUGUUUUUUGCUAGUGCAAAAGCUUGCACAGAACCUGAAUGGUUGUUGAAAGGACUCACUGAUAGUUGUUUAACUUAUGCACUCUCGAGAGUGUGUUUGAAAGGCUCACAGUUAUCAGUAAUUUUUAAGUGUAUAUUCACCAUUGGGGAUCUCAUCUUUUACUCUAUUGUGGAUUGUUACAUAAUCCAUUUGUUAGCCAUUGCUUUGAUUACUGUGUAAUUAGUAAAGGAUCUAGAAGUUAUUUAUAUUUUUUGUGGACUGAUUUCUUGUAUGUCUAAUAUGCUUCUAUUUUACUUUUACAAUUGUACUUAAUGUCAGUUUCUGGUAUUGUAUUUGUUUUUGCAGUACCUAUGUUCAAGGCUUAAAGUUGAGGACUGCUGCUCUCAAGAAUCACCAUUUAUUAGUAAGAUACUGUAAUGUAAUUGUUUAUGUAGUCAUUAUUUACUUUAAUGUGUGUCUUUUUGAGAGCUAUUAAACUUGUUUAUUUUGAAGAAAGCUGUAAAAUUGCAUGUUAUCCAAGAAGCAUGGGUCAAGGUAAUAAUGAAA